AGAAACUAACAAGGAUUCCCCUAGUAACUGCGAGUGAAGCGGGAAAAGCUCAAAUUUAAAAUCUGGCGGUCUCUGGCCGUCCGAGUUGUAAUCUAGAGAAGUGUUACCCGCGCUGGACCGUGUACAAGUCCCCUGGAAUGGGGCGUCAUAGAGGGUGAGAAUCCCGUCUCUGACACGGACUACCAGGGCUUUGUGGUAUGCUCUCAAAGAGUCGAGUUGUUUGGGAAUGCAGCUCAAAAUGGGUGGUAAAUUCCAUCUAAAGCUAAAUAUUGGCGAGAGACCGAUAGCGAACAAGUACCGUGAGGGAAAGAUGAAAAGAACUUUGGAAAGAGAGUUAAACAGUACGUGAAAUUGCUGAAAGGGAAACGCUUGAAGUCAGUCGCGUUGGCCGGGAAUCAGCCUCGCUUUUGCGUGGUGUACUUUCUGGUUGACGGGUCAGCAUCAAUUUUGACCGCUGGAAAAAGGCUUGGGGAAUGUGGCAGCUCCGGCUGUGUUAUAGCCCCUUGUCACAUACAGCGGUUGGGAUUGAGGAACUCAGCACGCCGCAAGGCCGGGUUUCGACCACGUUCGUGCUUAGGAUGCUGGCAUAAUGGCUUUAAGCGACCCGUCUUGAAACACGGACCAAGGAGUCUAACAUGCCUGCGAGUGUUUGGGUGGAAAACCCGAGCGCGUAAUGAAAGUGAAAGUUGAGAUCCCUGUCGCGGGGAGCAUCGACGCCCGGACCAGAACUUUUGGGACGGAUCCGCGGUAGAGCAUGUAUGUUGGGACCCGAAAGAUGGUGAACUAUGCCUGAAUAGGGUGAAGCCAGAGGAAACUCUGGUGGAGGCUCGUAGCGAUUCUGACGUGCAAAUCGAUCGUCAAAUUUGGGUAUAGGGGCGAAAGACUAAUCGAA
rnacentral:rRNA from 1 species